AGAAUCAACGCUGGCGGCGUGCCUAACACAUGCAAGUCGAACGAGAAAGUGGAGCAAUCCAUGAGUAAAGUGGCGCACGGGUGAGUAACACGUGACUAACCUACCUUUUAGUGGGGGAUAACCUAGGGAAACCUGGGCUAAUACCGCAUAAUACCUACGGGUCAAAGCAGCAAUGCGCUGAAAGAGGGGGUCGCGGUCGAUUAGUUAGUUGGCAGGGUAAUGGCCUACCAAGACUGUGAUCGAUAUCCGGCCUGAGAGGGCGCACGGACACACUGGAACUGAAACACGGUCCAGACUCCUACGGGAGGCAGCAGUGGGGAAUUUUGCGCAAUGGGGGAAACCCUGACGCGGAGCAACGCCGCGUGGAGGAUGAAGUCCCUUGGGACGUAAACUCCUUUCGAUCGGGACGAUAAUGACGGUACCGGAAGAAGAAGCCCCGGCUAACUUCGCGCCAGCAGCCGC
rnacentral:rRNA from 1 species